rnacentral:rRNA from 1 species
ACGAACGCUGGCGGCGCGCCUAACACAUGCAAGUCGAACGAGAGAGAGGGAGCUUGCUUCCUCGAUCGAGUGGCGAACGGGUGAGUAACGCGUGAGGAACCUGCCUCAAAGAGGGGGACAACAGUUGGAAACGACUGCUAAUACCGCAUAAGCCCACAGCUCGGCAUCGAGCAGAGGGAAAAGGAGCAAUCCACUUUGAGAUGGCCUCGCGUCCGAUUAGCUAGUUGGUGAGGUAAUGGCCCACCAAGGCGACGAUCGGUAGCCGGACUGAGAGGUUGAACGGCCACAUUGGGACUGAGACACGGCCCAGACUCCUACGGGAGGCAGCAGUGGGGAGUAUUGCACAAUGGGGGAAACCCUGAUGCAGCGACGCCGCGUGGAGGAAGAAGGUCUUCGGAUUGUAAACUCCUGUUGUUGAGGAAGAUAAUGACGGUACUCAACAAGGAAGUGACGGCUAACUACGUGCCAGCAGCCGCGGUAAAACGUAGGUCACAAGCGUUGUCCGGAAUUACUGGGUGUAAAGGGAGCGCAGGCGGGCGAUCAAGUUGGAAGUGAAAUCCAUGGGCUCAACCCAUGAACUGCUUUCAAAACUGAUUGUCUUGAGUAGUGCAGAGGUAGGCGGAAUUCCCGGUGUAGCGGUGGAAUGCGUAGAUAUCGGGAGGAACACCAGUGGCGAAGGCGGCCUACUGGGCACCAACUGACGCUGAGGCUCGAAAGUGUGGGUAGCAAACAGGAUUAGAUACCCUGGUAGUCCACGCAGUAAACGAUGAUAACUCGUUGUCGGCGAUACACAGUCGGUGACUAAGCGAAAGCGAUAAGUUAUCCACCUGGGGAGUACGUUCGCAAGAAUGAAACUCAAAGGAAUUGACGGGGGCCCGCACAAGCGGAGGAACAUGUGGUUUAAUUCGAUGAUACGCGAGGAACCUUACCCGGGCUUGAAAGUUAGCGACGAUUCUUGAAAGAGGAUUUCCCUUCGGGGCGCGAAACUAGGUGCUGCAUGGUUGUCGUCAGCUCGUGCCGUGAGGUGUCGGGUUAAGUCCCAUAACGAGCGCAACCCCUACCGUUAGUUGCCAUCAGGUGAAGCUGGGCACUCUGGCGGGACUGCCGGUGUAAGCCGAGAGGAAGGUGGGGAUGACGUCAAAUCAGCACGGCCCUUACGUCCGGGGCUACACACGUGUUACAAUGGUAGGUACAGAGGGCAGCUACCCAGCGAUGGGAUGCGAAUCUCGAAAGCCUAUCUCAGUUCGGAUUGGAGGCUGAAACCCGCCUCCAUGAAGUUGGAUUCGCUAGUAAUCGCGCAUCAGCCAUGGCGCGGUGAAUACGUUCCCGGGCCUUGUACACACCGCCCGUCAAGCCAUGGGAGCCGGGGGUGCCUGAAGUUCGUGACCGCAAGGAGCGACCUAGGGCAAAACUGGUGACUGGGGCU